rnacentral:sRNA from 1 species
UUUGCCCCUCCCCUCCCUUGGCAAAUGUGCUUCCAACCAGGAGCCAGGACAGUGGACAAAGGCUUGCAGGGGAGGGCCAGGGACUUGUAGUGCCUAGAGCCAGCCGGCGGCGGGCCCAGGGCACAGCGGUGCAUGACCCAGAACUCCAUCUGAGGGCCUUUGUGGGCCUCCGGGAGCCUGUCCAGGAAAAUGCAGGAAUUUUGGGGUUGGGCUGGUAACUCCUUGCUUUUUGAGGGCCGUCCAGGCCUGAGUAAUAAGGGGUUCAAGGAGUACCCCCUCUGCCCUACCAGGUCCUAGCUGCUGCGACUACAGUGCCAGCCAGGUGCCAUUCACUUCUGACUUCAGGGAAAGAGUGAAUGAGCCAGGCAGCUUCUGAUUUGAAGCUGAACCUCCCCUCUCCCCCAGUGCUCCCAAGAAGAGAGUAUGACGAGCUUUCUCAAAAGCGGAGGACACCUGACAAGUUGGAUCUUGCCCAGGCUGGCUGAGUCCAGAUCGCAGGUUCCCAGGAGAGCAAGUGGGUGCUGGAGGGAGCGGGCCAGGCGGAUGGCUUCCUGCUGCCCUCUGCUGGUAGCACUUUGAAUUACAGUGUAUCACGUCACCGAGCCAGCAUUUACUGCGGGUCCACGCGGAAGAGCAGCCCGGCAUUCUCUUACUAGGUGAGCAGAUAUAGUCACAGGAGUCAUCACUUGGCCUAAUCCACGCCAGACCUCCAACCACAACUGUCUAUCGCCAGUGUGGAGUCCAGAUCCUCGCUUCCUCAGGAAGUCCUUUAUCUAUUCCAACCUUAUUUCCUCAACUUCGUCCAGCAUGUCCCCAAAGACCAUGCUCUUUCGCAAAUAUGGAUGGAAAUGGAGACUCUCCUGUCGCAUAGUGACCGAGGACGCCUCUUCCGUCUGCACUUCGCCCCAAGUUUUGAUGUAUCAGGAAAAGUAGGAGUGUCACCGCCCUGUUCCGUCCUGCCCUACAUUCCCGGUGUCCAGGAAAAAGGAAUUGAUCAAGAAGUGCUCUUUUGGGGUUGGGCCGCCACCUGCUGGUAAACACAGAAACUGCAACAGUCCCACCAGGUAGAAGCCUGACCCGGGAGAGCAGGGCUUCUGCCAAGUCCUUUCAAGAGAUGAGAAUAUGAGGUAGACUUCCAUAUAACACAGGCUAGCCUCAAACUAGCUAUGUGCCCGACGCUGUCCGUAAAGUCUUCUACGUGCUGAGACUGCAGGAAUGUGUCACCUCUAUUAAGUCAUCCACACUGCCUGCCUGUGGGAACCUGGAAGCCCCGCCUCUGCCAUCCAGCUAGCAUCUUUAUCGAUCGACCAAAAACCAAUUGGAGAACAGGACCUUCCGUGUUCACACGCAGAUUCCUGAUCAAAGCAUCAGAAACACGCCCUACACAGGAGGCAGAAACAGGCGGGUCUCUGAGAGUUCGAGGCCAACCUGGUCUGCCUAGUGAGUUUCACAUCAGCCAAACAUACAAAGUGAGACCCUGUCAAAA